rnacentral:lncRNA from 1 species
AAUAUCCCCUUCUAGACUAUGUCCUCAAUCACCUAACUUCUUCCUACUAGGUUCAGUCUUCUAAAUGCUCCACCACCUCCCAAAAGCUCCAUAGGCUGAGGACCAAGCAUUUAAUACAGAGGCCUUUGGAGGACAUCCCAUACCCAAACUAUAGCAGCCCAGCAGGAGCUGUUGCUGGCAGGGGAACCCAAGUGGCACAGGUGGUAGCUGAGGAUGGCCACAGGGGAUCCGCUGGAGGGGACGGCUUCCAAGCUCUUGCUUGAGUGUCAGUGGAAACCUCGGCUGUGGAUCUCAAAGGUGUGACCUUCCCAGACAAUGGACAGCGUCUGAGGUGAUAAUCUCUCUUCUCCAUGUGACACUCGUCUUGGGUCUCACAUUGUGAUGGUGACUCAGGAGUUCCAUAGAGCUUCUUGUUUUCCCC